UGGGGAAUAUUGGACAAUGGGCGAAAGCCUGAUCCAGCCAUGCCGCGUGUGUGAAGAAGGUCUUCGGAUUGUAAAGCACUUUAAGUUGGGAGGAAGGGCAGUAAGCGAAUACCUUGCUGUUUUGACGUUACCGACAGAAUAAGCACCGGCUAACUCUGUGCCAGCAGCCGCGGUAAUACAGAGGGUGCAAGCGUUAAUCGGAAUUACUGGGCGUAAAGCGCGCGUAGGUGGUUCGUUAAGUUGAAUGUGAAAGCCCCGGGCUCAACCUGGGAACUGCAGCCAAAACUGGCGAGCUAGAGUAGGGCAGAGGGGGGUGGAAUUUCCUGUGUAGCGGUGAAAUGCGUAGAUAUAGGAAGGAACACCAGUGGCGAAGGCGACCACCUGGGCUCAUACUGACACUGAGGUGCGAAAGAGUGGGGAGCAAACAGG
rnacentral:rRNA from 1 species